rnacentral:tRNA from 1 species
UGGCAGAUAGCACUCCCGGUGAGCGCACUCGGCUGUUAACCGAGAUGGAGGCAGGUUCGAGUCCUGCUCUGCCAGCCA